UACGGGGGGAGCAAGCGUUGUUCGGAUUUACUGGGCGUAAAGGGCGCGUAGGCGGCGCAACAAGUCACUUGUGAAAUCUCCGGGCUCAACCCUGGGAUGCCGGUGGAUACUGUCGGGCUAGAGUGCGGAAGAGGCGAGUGGAAUUCCCGGUGUAGCGGUGAAAUGCGCAGAUAUCGGGAGGAACACCAAUUGCGAAGGCAGCUCGCUGGGACGUUACUGACGCUGAGACGCGAAAGCGUGGGGAGCAAACAGG
rnacentral:rRNA from 1 species